CGCUGCCAGUCUUUGUUUUCCUGGGUGUUCCCUAGUGAGCUCACUUCCCCUUAGGCACUUCACCAUAGGCACUUUAAUUCCGCUAGUCUGGUUGUGUCUUCACAAUAAUUGCACUCCAAUUAGAAUCGCACAGGUGUUGACAAUACUCUGUCAUUAGUUUCCCUAUAUAGAGCUGUCUUUCUCUGUUGUCAUCAUGGAGUCCUUACCCUAUGUGUCUCAUGCUCUCGUUCCCCCGAGACUUCCUCUACCUUCUCAUUCUUCCGAGUUCCCCGUUUCAUCCGGUUCCCUCUUUUGGUUACGUUUGUCUCUCAUGACUGUUUAUUUUUGUAGUUACCCCUCUGUUUAAAUAAAAACCCUUACCUGCA